UUCUCUAAUUGCAGGCUGGAGCUGAAUGCUUCACAGUGUUUCCCACUGUGCUAAUUGGAAAAAUAUAAUCUUCAGCUCACUGUGUCCUGCUUCGCACAAUAACGGCUAGCAGCUGGAUUCCCAGCUCAGUUCCUCAAGUGAACUAGUACUUUGUAGUUUAGCGUGAAGGACAAUAGACCCUUGGGGGUCCCAGAGGGAGCCUGUACGGUGUGAAGAACCACUGGAGAAUGUCCUCCAGCCUGAAAACAUGUACCCAUCGACUUCUGGCUUGUUCUAAGAGCCUCUAUUAAAUUUAAUUUCAAUUAAAAUGUUUGGGGAGCCAGCUCCCAGGAAUAUUAAUCGAUAUGGCCCAUUAGUUGAACAGUCCUUUGACGGGUCUCACAUGUGCCUUAUUGAUCUGGAAUGAAGGUAAUUUUCUUUUACCUGACAUCUUGGCUCCUGGCAAGCUCUCUGUUGGCCUCAGUGUGUCCAGCCUUACCAGCCUUCUAAGAAUCACAUCAGCAGGGGAGCAGAGAGUCGUUGGGAAGUUACACCUUCCUGAGGAGAUGAUUAAGGCUUUGGAGAGACUGAGAAAGCCAUUUGAGGUCAGAGCCUGCACAAGAGGGAACGUAUCAUCCAGGGGUGGAGGAAGCACACGGAGACAUUCAACUGGUGCACCAGGCUGAGAGAAACAGGGUCUGGAUAUCCAUUGGAUUGCUUCUGCUAAGAACCCCGAGAAUGUCAUCUUAACCUCUGGGUCUCAGGAGACACUCAAGGAGCCUGGCAAUUUUGCUCAUCCAUCUGGACAUGUCUCUUGCAACCAGAUUUAAACAGGAAGUCAAGCCAAGUGUUCCAGUGGUGCUUCGGUGACAAUGUCUUGUAUAGAUGCACCUUUCCUUCGGGGCUAUGGGGUCUUGCCAGAGUGGGCGGGAGAGUUCCAAGGAUGUGAGCAUCUUCUAAGGAUGGCCAGGGUUGCAGUCCACCCCUCCAACGUCUUUGCAAGGCCGUUCUGUCAGAGGGCUGUGCUCGUGCCCUCCUGACCCCUGGGCUCCAGGCUCACGGUGUUAGUCAGUGUCCUGCCACUGUCACAGAACUCCUGAGAUGACAUUUACAGAGAGCCUAUUUCGGCUCACAGUCCGGCAGUUUCAGCCCGUGGCUGGUUGGAUCCAUUGUUUGGGGGUUUGUUGCAAAGUGAGACAUCAUGACAGGAAGCUCCUGGUGGAGCAAACCUGAUCGUCUCUUAGCCAGGCCUCCAAAGAGAGGAAGAGAAAAAGGCUGGGGUACCAGUAACCCCUUAAAGGACGUGGCCCCAUUGACUAGAGUAUCUCCCACUAGGCCAUAUCUCUUUUCUAGUUCCACCAUUUCCUGAUUGGAGUACAUGUUGGUGACUAAACACACGGAUCCUUAGAGGUCCUGUAUCCAAACCGAGCUGUGGCUAAUUUAGACACAAGUUCUUCUGAAUUUCAAAUCUAACGCCUUCAAGCAAUCUUUAGCGUUCCCCAGAGAUCCCACUCUCUCUCUGGGGACUGUGUCCUGGUGCUAUCUCUGACUUCCGGGCCUGUUCCCAUCGGCACUGCCUCUGUUCUUUGCAUCCAGAUGGCAAAUAUCAGGCCUUUCGAUUUUUGCAAAGGGAACUGCCCACACAGUCAUGAGGGGCGAAGAGGUUCCACUGAAGACUGGGAACAGGAGUGGGAUGUGUGGGUGACAGAAGAGGGGUCUCCGCAUGGAACGGUGCAACAGGCAUCUGUCGGUAGACUGCCCCUAGCUUGGGGGCACCACUGGCCUUGGACUUGAGCCAGCCCCACCCGCCUUGGCCGUGUGGUCUCUUUCUCUCUGGUUUUCUCUGUCACUGCUCCUCCUCGUCAGGGCGGGCCUUCUGACUCGGGCGUGCAUGAGUUUGGUCUAGUUUUCCCAUCUCACCCACUCAGAGCUUAUCUGGAGGUGGGGAGCGAUCAUUGGCUGUCCCCUCCAGCGGCCUCCUCUACUGGAGUGGGAACUCUUUGGUUUUUGCUUUGUAACUGUUUGAUGUUUGUUCUUGUGUCUUCUCGAGCUCCAGGUCUAGGCAUCAGGGCGUGUUCCAACGUGGGAUCACGGAAGGAAGAAGAAGAACAGACAGGAAGGCCACGGGAAAUCAUGACUGAGAGAGAAAGGACAACUUAAAAAACCUUACAAGUCCCUGGCCUGUGAGACUCUGGCCUUCAAGUUGCUGCUGGAAUGGCUGAUGUGCACCAGGUAUCCUCAUGAGAUCCUACAUACAUGAUCCCAUCAUCCUUAUCAGGUGUGGGAGCUCGGCUAAGUGGAAGGCUAUGGCUGCUCUGGAACCCUUGUCCACACGCUUUCCCCAGAAGGCUGGAGUUUGACUCACUCUGUGGGAACCUGCUGGAGGUGGACUUUCAUAGAAACAUGCUACUGGAUGUCACUGGCUUCACAACGUCCUUUCAGAAGCAGAGAUUGAGUUUCUACCCCAGCAAGUUCAUCCAGAGGGGUCGACUUCCCUCGCUUCCAUGUCCUCAACACGCUCUUCAGUCUGCCAGUAGCUCGUUAAGAGAAGCCACGACGACGUCAUGCUCCUGCAGCAUUUCUGGGUAGCGGGCCACUGCUCGCUCGAUCCUGGCCGAGCGCCUCACGGGAGUGAUGAGCUUCAUGUCUUGUACUUCUGGCACACCACAUAUUCUGAAGGAGACCAAAGGAUGCGUUCAGAGCCUUCACAGCUACAGCAGCAUAACUGACAUCUCACUGUAAGCUGAGCGAGACAAGUCUGCAGUAGUUCUCAACCUACAUUGACAGGCAAGUCUGCAUCUAUACCGCCCCCUGCUCCACCCUAAGAAGGAAACCUGGGCUUUCCCUGAUGCCCAGGAAGUACUGGGUGGUGGCCACAUACAUGCUCCUGGAUGAUGUUAGCAUUAGGAUUUUAUGAAUGAAGGGUGAAAAUGGUUUUGAUUUGAAGUUAACUGCUUUACAAUUGCUAUUUGUUUGUCUCAUAAACUUUUGAGGGUUUUGAGGAAACUGGCCUAAUACCAAACUUGACUGCACUGGUGACUUCAAAGAGUCCUUCUAGUGUUGACUAUAUACAUCACUCAAAAUCUGUUAAGAUACUGGACCAAACCAUGUACUGAAGCUGGAACAACUGGGAAUCUUCCUUGUAAACUUCCCAAUGUAUUCAGAGACCUUUGCAUGCAAGACUGGUCUAAAAUUCACAAAACUACUGGCUGCAUUAGCUUAUGUAGAACUAGAGGGCAGGUCUGCUAAAAAGUGCUUGUAACAAUAAUUCUGGAGCUAGUGGGAGGCGAGCUUCAGACAGCCUGACUGCUUUCAUGCAUCCAUAAGCCAACCACAGUGGGGCAAUGAUGGCUAAGGGGUUAGUCUAGCUGUGCUUUCCGGGGAAAGGAAGGCUCAGAACCGCUGAGCUGGUGCUCCUGUGUGGAGUCCUUUCAGAAUCACGAACAGACGAGAGAUACUAAACUUACUUUUUGGAAACGACAUUGAUCCACUGCCAUACUGCCUUACAGUGACAGUGCAGUUCUGCCUGGAACGUAACCUCCUAGGAAACAGAAGGCUCUAGUAGUCUCUUAACAUACUCAGCUGCCCUCACUGUUCUCAUAGUUAGUGCUCCCCAUUCCUGUCUGGGACCGGCUGGCAGGACAAAGAACAGUGGAGAGAUGGGGCUGGAUGCAGGAGGGUGUGGCUCCACGCCAGCACCUGCCAGACUCUGCAGCACGGACUUCACUGCAGUUGUGUCUUCUUAGGGUGGAGCAGGGGGCAGUAUAGAUGCAGACUUGCCUGUCAAUGCUUCUAACUUCUAGUAUCCUCAGCCCCUUCCUCAGUGCCAAAGACCGUGAUCUGGGCAUCUUUGCCAAUUGAAGAUGGAUCCUGGGUCUCCUGUCAGCACUGAUCCUCUUCUCUGUUUCGAUGCCCUGAGAGCUCUCCGGGACUCCUCACUGACCUAACCUCUUUGCAGAGGCAUCUAUCAACCACUGCUUCUCUGGCUGGGUGUGAAGGAAACCGGGAGUUCAACUAGAGUUAGUUCUGUGCUCAAGAGUCUGCUGGAGUUG